UGGGUUACCACUGGAGGGGUUUGAGCAGAGCCAUGGCAUAUACUGAGCUACGUGUAUGUGUUUCUAAGCAAAACUUCUUGGAAGAAAAGGAAAUUCUUAGAAGCAAUUAGAGUAUCACACCCAUGCUAUACCCUUUGAUUCAUUAGCUUGCUCUGUUUUUCUGUUAUUUUGAAAUUACCCAAGUGGAAGCAGAAAAACUGCCAGGAAAAUGUCACAGCCACCCCUUACUGAACAGCAGAAACACCAGCAAAACACCAACUGCAACAUGGUGUAUUUUGAAGGUGAGAUUAAAUUUACCUACACCUAGAGAAAUAAUUGGAGCACAUGUCUAUUUGGGCCAAGAGGAUAAAGGCCAGUAGAGGAAUCAGAUCAAAGAGCUUCCUCAGGGAAGUGUGCAGAGAACUGGAGUGGACCUUCCCCUAGGAAGCUGCCCAAAACGAGAGUGCUGGAAAGCUGGCCGCAGUGAGGCACUUCAGAUCCCAAGGGUAUGCUGGGGAAGCUGCCACAGGUGGGAGCACUUGCUGCUGGACCCUAGGCACUGUUGAAACAACUGCACCAUCUGCAGGAGCCCAGCAAGGUGCCUUCAGCCAUGAUUAUAAGUUUCCUGAGGCCUCCCCAGCCAUAAGAAACGCCAAAGCCAGGCAUCCCAUCUGGAGAGAGAGAAGACUGAAGCAGAAACACAAUGGGAAGGAAGCAAAGAUGGAGAGAUGAGUUUUUGGAUUCAACUGAAGCCCUUGCUAUCUGCUAGAGUCAGAGUCAUCACAAUUGGGGGGUCUUCAUUAAGCUACACUUUUUAAUGGAACAUCCUAGUGAGGUUUGAGAGUACAGCUUUAUGGUCUAUAUUACAUUACUAAGCCGAUUUUA
rnacentral:lncRNA from 10 species